rnacentral:lncRNA from 1 species
CGGAUUUUCAAAAAUCUGAACCCGAACCCGACUCCAAACCAAUUAUUUCUCUUUUCAAUAUUUCAAAUAUAUAUUAUAUAUUAAAUCUAAAUUUUUAAAAUAUAAAUUCAAAUAUAAUAUUAAAUUUUCAUAUAUAUAUUAUAUAUAAUAUAAAAUAAAUUCGGAUUUGAGAUCGGAUCGGGUAUAGUCAAAUUUCAUAUCAUUAUUAAUAUUCAUCGGAUUUUAAUUUUUGAUAUCUAUAUUCGAAAUUAUAUUCAUUUAGUACCGAAUAAAUUUGCUCCGUGCGAAUUCGAAUUCGGAUAAAAUUUUAAAUAUUU